rnacentral:rRNA from 1 species
GACGAACGCUGGAGGCGUGCCUAGCACAUGCAAGUCGAACGAUGAAAUGGAGCUUGCUCCCUGGAUUAGUGGCGAACGGGUGAGUAACACGUGAAUAACCUGCCCUUAAUUUUGGAAUAACCCAGGGAAACCUGGGCUAAUACCGGAUAAGUAAACCUGUGGCAUCACAUGGUUUUGGAAAGUUUUUCGAUUAAGGAUGGAUUCGCGGCGUAUCAGUUUGUUGGUGAGGAAAUGGCUGACCAAGGCGACGACGGGUAGCCGGCCUGAGAGGGGGAACGGCCACACGGGGACUGAGACACGGACCAGGCUGCUACGGGAGGCAUCAGUGGGGAAUAUUGCGCGGGGGUCGAGAGUCUUGCGCAGCGACGCCGCGUGAGGGACGAAGGUCUUCGGAUUGUAAACCUCUUUCAGCAGGGACGAAGCGAAAGUGACGGUACCUGCAGAAGAAGCACCGGCUAACUAUGUGCCAGCCGCCGCCGUAA